rnacentral:rRNA from 1 species
AUUGAACGCUGGCGGCAGGCCUAACACAUGCAAGUCGAGCGGAUGAGUGGAGCUUGCUCCAUGAUUCAGCGGCGGACGGGUGAGUAAUGCCUAGGAAUCAGCCUGGUAGUGGGGGACAACGUUUCGAAAGGAACGCUAAUACCGCAUACGUCCUACGGGAGAAAGUGGGGGAUCUUCGGACCUCACGCUAUCAGAUGAGCCUAGGUCGGAUUAGCUAGUUGGUGAGGUAAAGGCUCACCAAGGCGACGAUCCGUAACUGGUUUGAGAGGAUGAUCAGUCACAAUGGGACUGAGACACGAUCCAGACUCCUACGGGAGGCAGCAGUGGGGAAUAUUGGACAAUGGGCGAAAGCCUGAUCCAGCCAUACCGCGUGUGUGAAGAAGGUCUUCGGAUUGUAAAGCACUUUAAGUUGGGAGGAAGGGCAGUAAGUUAAUACCUUGCUGUUUUGACGUUACCAACAGAAUAAGCACCGGCUAACUUCGUGCCAGCAGCCGCCGUAACAC